rnacentral:tRNA from 1 species
GAUGAUAUAGCUCAGUAGUAGAGCACACGCUUAGCAUGCACAAGGUCCUGGGUUCAAUCCCCAGUACUUCCA